rnacentral:rRNA from 1 species
AACGAACGUUAGCGGCGCGCCUAACACAUGCAAGUCGAGCGAGAAGGGAGCAAUCCCAGUAAAGCGGCGCACGGGUGAGUAACACGUAGGUAAUCUUCCUCGAGGUGGUGGAUAACCUUCCGAAAGGAGGGCUAAUACAGCAUGAGACCACGUCUCCGAAAGGGGAUGAGGUUAAAGCGGGCCUCUAUACAUAAGCUCGCGCCAUGAGAUGAGCCUGCGGCCCAUCAGCUAGUUGGUAGGGUAAUGGCCUACCAAGGCAAAGACGGGUAGCUGGGCUGAGAGGAUGAUCAGCCACACUGGAACUGAGACACGGUCCAGACUCCUACGGGAGGCAGCAGUGGGGAAUCUUGCGCAAUGGGCGAAAGCCUGACGCAGCGACGCCGCGUGGGUGAUGAAGGCCUUCGGGUUGUAAAGCUCUGUGGAGGGGGACGAAUAAGGGUUGGCUAAUAUCCAACUUGAUGACGGUACCCCUUUAGCAAGCACCGGCUAACUCUGUGCCAGCCGCCGCAGUAACAC